GGGUGCAUGGUCUAGUGGUAUGAUUUUCGCUUCGCAUCCUUGUGAAAGGUCCCCGGUUCGAUCCCGGGUGCAUCCA
rnacentral:tRNA from 1 species